CCUACUAAUAUGUUUAAAAAUGUAUAAAAUGAAUUAUAAUCGAUAUAAUCGAUUUAACACAGGAUUUAGAGUACAUUUUAAAAAAUUCAGUAAAAGGAUAUAGUAUUUUAUCUACGUACGCAUUUCAAGAAGAAUUAGACGAAAAAUGCAGAAAUAUAUUGGCUGAUAUUGUUCAUUAUGAACUUAAGAAUAACUUAGAUACUCGAAUUACUUCUGAACGCGCAAAAUUUAUUGCGGAGAAAAUAAUCGGGUUAUUUCCUAAAGAAGAUAGAAAAACACUUGGGUAGAAGAAGAAUGGAAGAAUGAAGAGAAGAAUGGAAAAAGUAUUGGAAGAAGCAAAAUUUUAAUAAAAUUUCAAACCAUACGAAGAAAUCUAAUUAAAGCUGGAGCGAUUAAAAGACAAGGACAGAAUGAGAAAGAAAGAGAAGGAACCGAUGUUUGUAUAUCAGAAGUUACCAGAUAAUACCGAUUGCGAAAAAUAUAUUUUAUGAUUGCAAAAUAAUGAUAAACCAUGGAUAAAAGUUACUCAAUUAUGGGAGAAAACUUCGAAAAUUCGAUUAAAAUGUUUACGAUCAGAGGAACAAAAUAUCCAAGAUUAUUUUAAACUCUAUUCUGCUUUAGAGGAACCUCAAGGAUAUACUUUAGUAAAAUUAUAUAAAAAUAAUUUUUGUCUUAUAUUUCUUUUUUAGCAUUCAUUUUAUAUUCUAACAUUUUUGUUUAUCUUUUUAUUAUACUUCUUUCGUUAAAGAUUUUGUGAAUUUUUAUAUUUUUUUAUUUCAAGUUUACAAUUUCACUUUAUUUACAAUUUUAUAUGUCUUAUAUUAUUUUCUCUCAAUGUUAGCUAGAAAAAGACUUUGAAGCAUUAUAUCCUGAUACUGUAAUGAAAUUAUACGUUGAAUGGUCUAAAUUAUCAGCUUUUAUAAAAAAAAAAUGGGUUAACAUAGAUUCAGCAUUCAAAGUAUAUUCAGAUCCAUCUAUAGUAAAAUUAUAUAUAAUUUAUCGUAAAAAUUAAUCCUAUUUUAUAGUAUAAUUUUUCUCAAAUUAUUAAAUAUUUGCAUGCUGUUUCUAGUAAAUAUUCAUUAUGAUUAAUGUUGUAACAUCUCGUACUAUUUCAUUCUGUAAAUAAUAAUAAACUUACAUAAUAAGUUAAGCUAAAACGUUUCUGUGUUUACAGAUAAAAAACAGUUCAACUUCUAUUAAAAUUAUCUUCUCUUUUUCCUGUAUAUACAGUACUUGCAGGAAAAGGUAAAAGUGGAAACUGGCGGCCGUCACUAUGUGAAAAACGAAAAGCCUUUCUAUGGCGAAUUGAGGCAAAUAUGUUAUUUAUCAUAAAUUUGCUAUGUAGGGUGUAUUUAAAUAAUUGUAAAUAAUUUUAAGCAGUUAUAUAUAUGGUAUAUUUGUUUAUAUAUAGAGUCAGUCAGUAACUAUUGUCACCUGAAAUAUCUUCCGAAGCAAAAGAUGUAAGAAUGAUCUUCAAAUCUUCGAAGUUACUUAGAAAAAAAAGCAUGUUAUAACGGUAAAACUUUUUUCUAAGUCAAAUAAUUUCGAAGAUCUGAAGAUCUUUGUCUUUUACUUCGAAGAUAUUGCAAGUGACAGUAAUUACUGACUUACACUAUAUAUAAUUCUAUAUUAUAUAAAUAUAUUAAAGCUUUUACAAUUUUUCUUUAUGUAUAUAUAUAAUUCUAAAUAUAUUAAAGCUUUUACAAUUUUUCUUUAUGUAAUUUAUGUGAUUUGUUUUGUACGUAUUUCUUUUUAUUUAUAAACAUAUGGUGAUUUGACGCGAAAAUAUACGAAAAGAGAGAGAAAUUAAAUACAUUCAAGUUAACAUUACAAUCGCAGGCUAUCAUUAUAGGCUCAUCAGAUAUCGAUAUACGGCGUAGUUUUGUCAUUGUUAAUAAUCAACAUUAUGAACUCGAAACUCCUUUAAAAGCUAUUGAUAUUACAUUUAAGUGUAUUCACAGUCUACAUAUCCCAAAGAAAGCGAACAAGUUUUUCUUUUUCUACAAAUACAUAUUUAUGGCAUUAAGACAAAAUAUGAUAAGAAAUUUAGUACUUUGAUCAAAGGAAAUUUUUCUUUGUAAAAGUAACUUUCUCAGAGUAUUUUCUUUAUUUUUCAUAUUUCUUCUCUUUCUUUAAUAUUAUUACAGUAUUCCAUUUAGUAUUCAAAGUUUAAAUGGAAAAAAAUAUUUUAAUAUAUGGUUAUAUUUAUAAAAUAGUUUUAUUAAUACAUAUAAAGUAUUAAAUAGAACCUUGGUAAUGAUAUCCAUAAUAAAAGAAAUAUUUUUAAUUUAUAUUAACAGAGACAUCGAUUAAUCAAGAUGCCGAUUUGUUUUAUAUGUAAAGAAGAAGUUGAGAAUAUUAAACUUUUGCGCAUUCAUUUCGAAUAUAAACAUAAAGAAAUCAAAUAUUAUGAAUGUAUUGAAAUACAUUGUCAUAGAAAAUUCGAUACUUAUAAAUCUUUAAAAAAGCAUUUAAAUUCAUAUCACAAUAUCAAAUAACCAGAAAGAUAUAAAAAUCAGGAGAAAAGACCAAAUAAUGAGCAAACUAUUAAUUGCACAAAUAAUAUAGAUUUUUAUUAUAAUAAUUUUUUGGAAAUUUAUAGUUUUGAUUCGUCUGAUUUUGAUAACUCAUUGAAUCACGACAAUUCUGUUAAUGUUGAAGAACAUACAAUGAAUAAAGUUGCUUCUUUCUUUGCAAAACUAUUAUACUAUAAUUAUGGUCUUCCGCGAAAUUAUGUCCAAAAUCUAUAUAAAGACAUUCAAAAACUUUUUAUUAACGAUUGUCUUAAAAAAGCUGAAAAUUUCCUUACUUCCAUUGAAAAUGUAAAUGACAGUAAGAUAGUUAUAGACAAAAUUCAAUUACUUUGUAAAGAUUAUAAGGAUUCUUUUGAAUCGAUGUCAACAGAAUAUCGUAGAAUUAAAUACGAACAGUGGACAAUAUGUGGCUCCGCAAUCAUAUAUUAUUCGAAAUGGCACUGAACGAGUUAUUAGUGAAACAAGACAAUAUAUUCCAUUAAGACAUAUGUUGGAACGUUUUUUCAAAAUUCCUCAUGCUUUGGAAGAUAUACUUUCAAAUAUGAAUUCCUUAAUAAAUUCUGUAGAUAAGAUAUAUAGUUAUAUUCAAACUGAUACAUGGAAGCGUAAAAUAUCAUUUUAUAAGUCAGAUGAUAUUGUUUUGCCUUUAAUCUUUUAUUUCAAUUACUCCGAAUCAAGUAAUCCACUUCGUCCUAAAUCUGGUAAACUUGGUGUAGUCUACGCGGAGUUGCUUUAUCUUUCUCCUGAAUGUGAAUUUAAUUCUGAUAAUAUAUUUCUUGUAUUGUUAGUUUUUGAAAGUAUUAGUAGAAAAAUUUUUGGUAAUAAGAAAAUUUUUGUUCUCUUAAUUGAUGAAUUUAAUUUUUUGGCAAAUGAAGGAAUUUCUGUAACAACAAUGGACAGAGAGAUAAAAAAAUAUAUUUUACUACAGAAUUUUGUACUGGUGACAAUUUAGGAAUUAAUUCAAUGUUUGGUUUUGUAGAAAGUUUUAAUGCUCAUUAUUAUUGUAGAAUUUGUAAAAAUUCGAAACAAAAUAUGCAAAUUCAAUAUAAAGAUAAUAUAUCAUACCAACGAAGUCCACAAAAUUACGAACAGGAUGUUGUUAGAAAAAACGAAAAAUUAACAGGAAUAAAAGAAAGAAGCAUCUUUAAUAAAUUAAAAAAUUUUCAUGUGACUUGAAUUCUGCUUUAGAUUCAAUGCAUGAUCUCGCCGAAGGGAUAUGCCAUUAUGACAUGUGUUACAUAAUAAAACAUUGCAUAGAAUGUGAUUACUUCAGUCUCGAUCAACUAAAUUCUCGAAUGUCUGUGUUUAAUUAUGGACUUAUUGAUAAAUCGUCAGAACUUCUAUUUAUUUUUAAAAAGCAUCUAGAUAGUUUAACAUUAAAAAUGACUGCUACCCAAACAUUAUGUUUUGUAAAAUAUUUUGAUCUUUUGAUUGGUGACCUGGUUCCUGAUAAUGAUCCUUUUUGAUUGUUAUAUAAACUUUUAAGAGAUAUUCUUGAUAUUAUCCUCGCGAAAAGUAUUAACAAAGCUUAUCCUAAUAUUUUGCAAGUACUUGUAAAUGAACAUCAUAAAUUAUAUCUCCAAAUAACAAACGAUAAUUUGAAACUAAAAUAUCAUGCACUUGUUCAUUAUCCUAAUUUUAUGAAAAAAGCAGGACCUGUGAGUCAGUUUUCAUGCUUCAAAUUCGAAGCAAAACAUAAGUUUCUUAAAAAAUCGGCUUCUAUAAACUCAUGUAAGAAAAAUAAAGCUUAUUCAGUUACUGUAAAAUAUCAACUGCACAUACGUUACAGAUUUCUAAGUUCUUCUUUUAUUUUGCAAACUUUUUCAAUUGGACCCAUAAAAAAGAUGGAUAGAUUUGAAAAGAUUCAGGUUUUAGCUUCUUUGCCUAACAAUAUUAAAUAUAAUUCAAACUUGAAAAUUCUUAAAUGGAUAAAUUACAAGGGAACUUGUUUUCGUGAAUUUCAUUGUUGUUAUUGACGAAAGUAAGUCAGGACCAUUAUUUGGUUAAAUUGCUGCUAUAAUUGUAUGUCAAAAUAUUGUGAUAUUCCAUUGCGAGUUUUAAUUACUAUAGGUUUUAAUUACUAUAGGAUUUAAUGAACACGUUCGAGGUUACGAAGUACAAUUUUCUGGGUCUAAAAGAAACGUAAACAUAAAUGAUCUUUGUGAUCCACUGCCAUUAAGUCUGAAUGCAAAUGUAUGUAAUGAAAACUAUGUUAUU